UACGUAGGGUGCGAGCGUUAAUCGGAAUUACUGGGCGUAAAGCGUGCGCAGGCGGUUGUGCAAGACAGAUGUGAAAUCCCCGGGCUCAACUGGGAAUUGCAUUUGUGACUGCACGGCUAGAGUGUGUCAGUGGGGGGUAGAAUUCCACGUGUAGCAGUGAAAUGCGUAGAGAUGUGGAGGAAUACCGAUGGCGAAGGCAGCCCCCUGGGAUAACACUGACGCUCAUGCACGAAAGCGUGGGGAGCAAACAGG
rnacentral:rRNA from 1 species